GGCCAAGCUACUAAGAGCAGACGGUGGAUGCCUUGGCGUCGGCCGGCGAAGAAGGGCGUUGAAGGCUGCGAAAAGCUUCGGGGAGCCGCCAAACAGGCCUUGAUCCGGAGAUUCCCGAAUAGGGCAACCAGAGUGGGGUCAUGCUCACUCACGGAUGGCUGAAUACAUAGGCCAUACCGGGCGAACGGGGUGAAUUGAAACAUCUUAUUAGCCCCAGGAACAGAAAACAAUAGUGAUUCCCUAAGUAGCGGCGAGCGAACGGGGAAGAGCCUAAACCGUGUUGGUGUAAGCUUGCGGGCGUUGCCAAUGCGGGGUCGUGGGACCUAUCCGAGAGUGCCGCAAUGCUCUCAAAGAGUUACAAAGUAACGUUAUAGUGGAAGGAUCUGGAAAGGUCCGCCAUAGAUGGUGACAGCCCAGUACACGAAAUAUCGUUACCUCUUGAUAGGCACCCGAGUACGGCGGGACACGUGGAACCCCGUCGGAAUCCGCCAGGACCAUCUGGCAAGGCUAAAUACGCGCCGACGACCGAUAGCGAACCAGUACCGUGAGGGAAAGGUGAAAAGCACCCCGGCGAGGGGAGUGAAAUAGUACCUGAAACCGUCUGCUUACAAGCUGUGGAAGGGAUGUUAUGGUUUCGGCCAUACGCCUAACUGCGUGCCUUUUGCAUAAUGAGUCAGCGAGUUACUCUCUGUGGCGAGGUUAAGCCGAUAGGUGUAGCCGUAGCGAAAGCGAGUCUUAACCGGGCGUAUUAGUCGCAGGGAGUAGACCCGAAGCCGGGUGAUCUAUCCAUGGCCAGGGUGAGGUCUCGGUAACACGAGAUGGAGGCCCGAACCAAUGUAGGUUGAAAACUAUUUGGAUGAGCUGUGGAUAGGAGUGAAAGGCUAAUCAAACUCGGAUAUAGCUGGUUCUCCCCGAAACAUAUUUAGGUAUGGCCUCGGGAGUUGAGUGGCGGGGGUAGAGCACUGAAUGAGCUAGGGCUCCUAACAGAGUACCAACCUCAAUCAAACUCCGAAUACCGCCAACUUUUAUCCCGGGAGUCAGCCGGUGGGAGAUAACUUCCAUCGACGAGAGGGAAACAACCCAGACCGCCAGCUAAGGUCCCAAAGUGUGCGCUAAGUGGGAAACGAGGUGGAGUUACACAAACAACCAGGAGGUUGGCUUAGAAGCAGCCAUCCUUUAAAGAAAGCGUAAUAGCUCACUGGUCCAGUGACUCCGCGCGGAAAAUGUAACGGGGCUAAAGCGCACCACCGAAGCUGCGGGAUGUUUUAACAUCGGUAGGGGAGCAUUGAGUAAGGGUGUGAAGCCAGACCGUAAGGACUGGUGGACCUAUCUCAAGAGCGUAUGCUGACAUGAGUAGCGAAAAAAUAGGUGAGAAACCUAUUCGCCGGAAGCCUAAGGUUUCCUGAGUAAAGUUAAUCUUCUCAGGGUUAGCCGGCCCCUAAGCCGAGGCCGAAAGGCGUAGGUGAUGGGAAACAGGUUAAUAUUCCUGUGCCACUGCCAUCGCGUUAUUACCGAUGGGGGGACGCAGAAGGGUAGACGAUCCACCUGCUGGAUUAGGUGGUUCAAGCUGGUAGGCGGAGGAAGCAGGCAAAUCCACUUCCUCAACGCCGAGAAGUGAUGACGAGCGGUUUUCCGCGCAAAGUCGUUGAGCCCAUGCUGCCAAGAAAAGCCUCUAGGGAGUGAUGGUGGUGACCGUACCGUAAACCGACACAGGUGGGCAGGGUGAGUAACCCGAGGCGCUUGAGAGAACUCUGGCUAAGGAACUCGGCAAAAUAACACCGUAACUUCGGGAGAAGGUGUGCCCUCGUUAGGUGAUUGAACUUGCUUCAUGAGCCGAAGGGGGUCGCAGAGAAAUGGGGGUAGCGACUGUUUACUAAAAACACAGGACUCUGCCAAGUCGCAAGAUGACGUAUAGGGUCUGACGCCUGCCCGGUGCCGGAAGGUUAAGGGGAGAGGUUAUCUGGUUUACUGGAGAAGCCUUGAACCGAAGCCCCGGUAAACGGCGGCCGUAACUAUAACGGUCCUAAGGUAGCGAAAUUCCUUGUCGGGUAAGUUCCGACCUGCACGAAUGGCGUAACGACUUCCCCACUGUCUCAGCCAGGGACUCAGCGAAAUUGUAGUGGCGGUGAAGAUGCCGUCUACCCGCAGCAAGACGGAAAGACCCCGUGGACCUUUACUACAGCUUGACAUUGGUUUUUGGGCUAGCAUGUGUAGGAUAGGUGGGAGGCUAUGAAACCGGGACGCUAGUUUCGGUGGAGCCAUCCUUGAAAUACCACCCUUGCUAUCUUAGGAAUCUAACCUUGGUCCCUUAUCGGGAUCGGGGACAGUGUCUGGUGGGUAGUUUGACUGGGGCGGUCGCCUCCCAAAGAGUAACGGAGGCGCGCGAAGGUUCCCUCAGGCUGAUUGGAAACCAGCCAUAGAGUGUAAAGGCAUAAGGGAGCUUGACUGCGAGACCGACGGGUCGAGCAGGUACGAAAGUAGGUCUUAGUGAUCCGGUGGUUCCGCAUGGAAGGGCCAUCGCUCAACGGAUAAAAGGUACCCCGGGGAUAACAGGCUUAUCUCCCCCAAGAGUUCACAUCGACGGGGAGGUUUGGCACCUCGAUGUCGGCUCAUCGCAUCCUGGGGCUGGAGCCGGUCCCAAGGGUUUGGCUGUUCGCCAAUUAAAGCGGUACGUGAGCUGGGUUUAGAACGUCGUGAGACAGUUCGGUCCCUAUCUGCUGUGGGCGUAGGAAAUUUGAGAAGAGCUGCUCCUAGUACGAGAGGACCGGAGUGGACGGACCACUGGUGUGCCAGUUGUCGUGCCAACGGCAUCGCUGGGUAGCUAUGUCCGGAAGGGAUAACCGCUGAAAGCAUCUAAGCGGGAAGCCCCCUUCAAGAUAAGAUUUCCCUUCCCUUCGGGGACUGAAGGGCCCUUGAAGACUACAAGGUUGAUAGGUCGGAGGUGUAAGCACAGCAAUGUGUUCAGCUGACCGAUACUAAUCGCCCGUGAGGCUUGGUCAC
rfam:Desulfarculus baarsii DSM 2075, complete genome.